rnacentral:rRNA from 1 species
UGACGAAGCUGUACUGUAAGGAGCAGUGGAGAGUUAAGAAGAGAGAAUGCCGGAAUGAGUAGCGAGAUUUAAGUGAGAAUCUUAAAGGCCGAAUAUCUAAGGUUUCCAGGGUAAAGCUGAUCUUCCCUGGGUAAGUCGGGGCCUAAGGCGAGGGCGAGAGCCGUAGUCGAUGGAUAACAGGUUGAAAUUCCUGUACUGCUUAUGGACAGAACUGUGGGGACGCAGAAGGAGAGCACGAGCCGGAAAUGGAAAAGCCGGUACAAGCGUAUAGCAGUCAUGCAGGCAAAACCGCAUGAAAAAUGUAAAGCGUUAUGUGGAUCGAACAUUAGUAGAGAAGCGUGUGAGCCAGCUGCCAAGAAAAGCCGCUAUUGUUUCAUAAGUACCCGUACCGUAAACCGACACAGGUGGAUGAGGAGAGAAUCCUAAGGCCGGCGGGAGAAGUGUUGUUAAGGAACUCGGCAAAAUGACUCCGUAACUUCGGGAGAAGGAGUGCCACAGAGAUGUGGCCGCAGAGAAAUGGCCCAAGCAACUGUUUAGCAAAAACACAGGUCUAUGCAAAACCGAAAGGUGAGGUAUAUGGGCUGACGCCUGCCCGGUGCUGGAAGGUUAAGAGGAGAGGUUAGAGCAAUCGAAGCUUUGAAUUUAAGCCCCAGUAAACGGCGGCCGUAACAAUAACGGUCCUAAGGUAGCGAAAUUCCUUGUCGGGUAAGUUCCGACCCGCACGAAAGGCGUAAUGAUUUGGGCACUGUCUCAACAACACACCCGGUGAAAUUGAAAUACCAGUGAAGAUGCUGGUUACCUGCGCCAGGACGGAAAGACCCCAUGGAGCUUUACUCCAGUUUGAUACUGGGAUUCGGUACUGUCUGUACAGGAUAGGUGGGAGGCUAGGAAAUGGUGACGCCAGUUGCCAUGGAGCCAACCUUGGGAUACCACCCUUACAGUACUGGGUUUCUAACCUGCAGCCGUAACCCGGCUGGGGGACAAUGUCUGACGGGGAGUUUGACUGGGGCGGUCGCCUCCGAAAGAGUAUCGGAGGCGCUCAAAGGUUCCCUCAGAACGGUUGGAAACCGUUCGAAGAGUGCAAAGGCAGAAGGGAGCUUGACUGCGACACCGACGGGUGGAGCAGAUACGAAAGUAGGACUUAGUGAUCCGGUGGUAUAAAGUGGGAUUGCCAUCGCUCAACGGAUAAAAGCUACCCUGGGAUAACAGGCUUAUCACUCCCAAGAGUUCACAUCGACGGAGUGGUUUGGCACCUCGAUGUCGGCUCAUCGCAUCCUGGAGCUGUAGCAGGUUCCAAGGGUUGGGCUGUUCGCCCAUUAAAGCGGUACGCGAGCUGGGUUCAGAACGUCGUGAGACAGUUCGGUCCCUAUCCGGCGUGGGCGUAGGAUAUUUGAGAGGAGCUGUCCUUAGUACGAGAGGACCGGGAUGGACAAACCUCUGGUGUAUCUGUUGUUUUACCAAAGGCAUGGCAGAGUAGCCAAGUUUGGCAGGGAUAAACGCUGAAGGCAUCUAAGCGUGAAGCCCCCCUCAAGAUAAGAUAUCCCAUCUUCGGAGUAAGACCCCUUGAAGACUACAAGGUUGAUAGGCUUCAGGUGUAAGUGUGGUAACGCACUCAGCUGAGAAGUACUAAUAGGUCGAGAACUUAUC